rnacentral:antisense_RNA from 1 species
CCUCCUGGGCCCUCCUAUCCACUGAAGGAAAUGGGAGAUGAGUGGGUAAUGGAAAAGCCUUUGGAGUCAGAUGUAAAUCCAUGACUUGACCACUUAUUGCUGUGAGACCCUGGACAGCUGGAUAUAGAGUUCUUGUUCUAGCAUCCGCCCUGGGAAUCCCCGGAACUGGGCCUCUUACCCACACCAUUGCCUGUAAUCCACCAACCUAGGAGGAACUCGGAAACGGGACCCAGAAAGUUGUUUUCUGCAAGUGGAUGGAACAACACAAGCAAUCAGUAUCCUGAAACAGGCCCUG